rnacentral:rRNA from 1 species
AUGACCAUCAUCCAGAACAAAUACCUUCGAGGACAGCCUCUUGCUUUCUGUCAGCGCUCGGGCGGCUCCCAGUUUUGGCAGGCCGUCGUCCAGCUGCUUCCUGUGCUUCGCAUUGGCACAUCCAUCUCGGUUGGUACCGGGUCCACGACCCUGUUCUGGUUUGAUCGGUGGAUUGGUGACGCUCCCCUGGCCGCGUGAUUUUCGGAGCUCUUCGCCAUUGCAGUUGACCCUCGUGUCUCUGUCGAGACGGCCCUUAUUGACUUAGGGCGCCUUGAUUUCCGCCGCCCCUUUGGCCCACCUGAAGUAUAGCCGCUUGGGAUGCCCUCCUUCAGGACAUCGCCCCUCCUCCCUAUGGACGUCGCCGACACCCCGAACGCCAUCUCUUGGCGUCUGGAACCUUUCGGCUGCUUCUCCACCAAAUCCCUCUACGCGGGCAUCGCCCCCUCGACGGCCCUCGAGCCCUUUAGUUUGAUUUGGGACAUCUGCCUGCCCCUGAAGAUCAGGAUCUUCAUGUGGCAAUGGAUCCGAGGCCGCCUCCCGUCCGGCGUGGAGGUCCUUAAGCGUAAUGGACCUGGUGAUGGGAUGUGCCCCAUGUGCGGUACGGUGCAGGAUGCUAACCACAUCUUCUUCUCGUGCUCCACGGCUCGGUUCCUUUGGUCCUGUUUCCGCGAGACGGUUGGGGGUCAAUGGUGCAACACCAACUUCCCAGACCUGCUUGCGGAAAUUCAAGCCUCCCCCCUGCAGGAAAUAUGCCCUAGAGGCAAUAAUAAAGUUAUUAUUUAUUUCCUUAUAUCAUGA